rnacentral:tRNA from 3 species
GUGGUCAUGGUAUAAUGGUUAUUACUUCGGCUUGUGGAGCCGAAAAUACGGGUUCAAUUCCCGUUGGCCACCCCA